rnacentral:rRNA from 1 species
AAACGCUUGAAGUCCAGUCGCGUCACUCAGGGAUCAACCUUGCUUUUGCUUGGUGUACUUUCUGGUUGAUGGGUCAACAUCAAUUUUGAUCAGUGGAUAAGAAUCGAGGGAAUGUGGCACCUUUGGGUGUGUUAUAGCCUUUGGUUGUAUGCAUUGGUUGGGAUUGAGGAUCUCAGCA